rnacentral:rRNA from 1 species
UACGGAGGGUGCAAGCGUUAUCCGGAUUCACUGGGUUUAAAGGGUGCGUAGGUGGGUUGUUAAGUCAGGGGUGAAAUCCUGGAGCUCAACUCCAGAACUGCCUUUGAUACUGGCGAUCUCGAGUCCGGGAGAGGUGAGUGGAACUGCGAGUGUAGAGGUGAAAUUCGUAGAUAUUCGCAAGAACACCAGUGGCGAAGGCGGCUCACUGGCCCGGUACUGACGCUGAGGUGCGAAAGCGUGGGGAGCAAACAGG